GUGGGGAAUCUUGCGCAAUGGGCGAAAGCCUGACGCAGCCAUGCCGCGUGAAUGAUGAAGGUCUUAGGAUUGUAAAAUUCUUUCACCGGGGACGAUAAUGACGGUACCCGGAGAAGAAGCCCCGGCUAACUUCGUGCCAGCAGCCGUGGUAAUACGAAGGGGGCUAGCGUUGCUCGGAAUUACUGGGCGUAAAGGGCGCGUAGGCGGACAGUUUAGUCAGAGGUGAAAGCCCAGGGCUCAACCUUGGAAUUGCCUUUGAUACUGGCUGUCUUGAGUACGGGAGAGGUGAGUGGAACUCCGAGUGUAGAGGUGAAAUUCGUAGAUAUUCGGAAGAACACCAGUGGCGAAGGCGACUCACUGGCCCGUUACUGACGCUGAGGCGCGAAAGCGUGGGGAGCAAACAGGAUUAGAUACCCUAGUAGUCC
rnacentral:rRNA from 1 species